rnacentral:tRNA from 1 species
GCGGGGGUGGCAGAGUGGUCUAAUGCGCCGGCCUGCUAAGCCGGUUCCAGCAAUGGAGCGCGAGUUCAAAUCUCGUCCCCCGCG